GUCUGUAUUAAGAAGAUGGCAGUUACAGUGAUGUGCAACGAAAACAGUGAACUAAAAGUGAACUGUAUGAUGUCCGCCUGGUUGCCAGAUGAGGAAAAGCAAGCAGUUUGUUUAGAUGCAGUGAAUUAAAAAUUACCUGACACCACUCAAGAUGCCUUGUAAAAAGAGCAAAAUGCGUCUGGGAGAAUAAAUUAAAAUACAAAAUUUUAUGUGCAGCAUGCAAAGGCAUUU